rnacentral:rRNA from 1 species
GUUUGAUCCUGGCUCAGGAUGAACGCUAGCGACAGGCCUAACACAUGCAAGUCGAGGGGUAACAGGGGCUUCGGCCCGCUGACGACCGGCGCACGGGUGAGUAACGCGUAUGCAACCUGCCUGUAACAGCGGGAUAGCUCCCUGAAAGGGGAAUUAACACCGCAUAAGACCACGCUCUCGCAUGGGGACGGGGUAAAAUAUUUAUAGGUUACAGAUGGGCAUGCGUGACAUUAGUUAGUUGGUGAGGUAACGGCUCACCAAGACAGCGAUGUCUAGGGGUUCUGAGAGGAAGGUCCCCCACACUGGAACUGAGACCGGCUCCAGACUCUACGGGAGCAGCAUGAGGAAUAUUGGUCAAUGGACGCAGUCGACCAGCCAUGUCGCGUGCCAGGACGACUGCCCUAUGGGUUGUAACUGCUUUUAUAUUGGAAGAAUUGCGCUUACGAGUUAAGCGUUUGACGGUACAUUAUGAAUAAGGAUCGGCUAACUCCGUGCCAGCAGCCGCGGUAAUACGGAGGAUCCGAGCGUUAUCCGGAUUUAUUGGGUUUAAAGGGUGCGUAGGCGGAAAUGUAAGUCAGUGGUGAAAUCCUGCAGCUUAACUGUAGAAUAGCCGUUGAAACUGUGUUUCUUGAGUACAUUUGAGGUAGGCGGAAUGUGGUGGUGGUAGCGGGUGAAAUGCAUAGAUAUACCACAGAACACCGAUUGCGAAGGCAGCUUACUAAACUGUCACUGACGCUGAUGCACGAAAGCGCGGGGAUCAAACAGGAUUAGAUACCCUGGUAGUCCACGCUGUAAACGAUGAUUUACCUGGGUUGUUUGCGAUACACUGCAAGUGACUGAGCGAAAGCAUUAAGUAAUCCACCUGGGGGAGUACGUCGGCAACGAUGAAACUCAAAGGAAUUUGACGGGGGCCCGCACAAGCGGAGGAACAUGGUGGUUUAAUUCGAUGAUACGCGAGGAACUUACCUGGGUUAAAUGGGGGAGUGACAGGCUUGGAAACAGGCCCUUCUUCGGACACUCUUCAAGGUGCUGCAUGGGUUGUCGUCAGCUCGUGCCUGAAGUGUCGUUAAGGUCCCAUAAACGAGGCCACCCCCAUCCGAUAUAGUUUAUCUCACAGCCCACGCCUCUACUCGUGUGGGGGAACCUCUUCAGCUGCCGGUUAAACCGUGAGGAGGGUGGGGAUGACGUCAAAUCAGCACGGCCCUUACAUCCAGGGCUACACACGUGUUACAAUGGCCGGUACAAAGGGCAGCUACACAGCGAUGUGAUGCUAAUCUCCAAAUCCGGUCUCAGUUCGGAUCGAAGUCUGCAACCCGACUUCGUGAAGCUGGAUUCGCUAGUAAUCGCGCAUCAGCCAUGGCGCGGUGAAUACGUUCCCGGGCCUUGUACACACC